rnacentral:rRNA from 1 species
UACGUAGGGGGGCAAGCGUUGUCCGGAAUCAUUGGGCGUAAAGAGCGUGUAGGCGGCCCGAUAAGUCCGCCGUGAAAGUCCAGGGCUCAACCCUGGAAUGCCGGUGGAAACUGUCGGGCUGGAGUCCGGAAGAGGCGAGUGGAAUCCUGGUGUAGCGGUGAAAUGCGCAGAUAUCAGGAGGAACACCAAUGGCGAAGGCAGCUCGCUGGGCCUGUCCUGACGCUCGAGGCGCGAAAGCUAGGGGAGCAAACAGG